rnacentral:rRNA from 1 species
AGUGAACGCUGGCGGCAGGCCUAACACAUGCAAGUCGAGCGGCAGCGCGGGGGCAACCCUGGCGGCGAGCGGCGGACGGGUGAGGAAUUCGUCGGAAUCUGCCUUUUUGUGGGGGAUAACGUAGGGAAACUUACGCUAAUACCGCAUACGUCCUACGGGAGAAAGUGGGGGACCGCAAGGCCUCACGCAGAAAGAUGAGCCGACGACCGAUUAGCUAGUUGGUGGGGUAAAGGCCCACCAAGGCGACGAUCGGUAGCUGGUCUGAGAGGAUGAUCAGCCACACGGGGACUGGGACACGGCCCAGACCCCAACGGGAGGCAGCAGGGGGGAAUUUUGGAAAAUGGGCGCAAGCCUGAUCCAGCCAUGCCGCGUGUGUGAAGAAGGCCUUCGGGUUGUAAAGCACUUUUGUCCGGAAAGAAAUCCCUGGGGCUAAUACCUUCGGGGGAUGACGGUACCGGAAGAAUAAGCACCGGCUAACUUCGU